rnacentral:rRNA from 1 species
GCAUCUAAGCGCGAAGCCCCCCUCAAGAUGAGAUUUCCCAGUAUGUAAGACCCCUUGUAGACGACGAGGUUGAUAGGUUCGAGGUGGAAGUGCGGUAACGUAUGCAGCUGACGAAUACUAAUCGGUCGAGGGCUUAACCAU